CGAUUCUACGUGCACAUCGCCUAAAUAGCCUAAAAUUAAAAUGUCUAAGUUUUAAUCAUAUUUUAGACGGCGGAUUUAACAAGUGCUAUUCCAGAACGUCAAGCUGACUAAAUUUAGCCAGAUUUUAGACGGAUUCUAAAAUUUCUAAGUUGAAUUGAGUGUGUUGCCACUUUAAAAAAAUAAGUGAACGAAUGAAUGAAUGAUAUCUGUAUAAAAACUGUAAAAUCGUAUUUUCUUUUGGGUGAAAUAUGAUAAUUUAAUGAAUUUUAUUCCAUUACAUAUAUUUAACACUAGUGUACACACCUUAGACCACUAAAACGUUACUUUUUAAUUAUGUAAUUAAAAAUAAUUAAUCAAAUUUUAAUAGGCAACAUUUAAAAAAAUCUGCUGUCAAGUACGAAGAAGUUUGUAAACUUGUUUGUAUUCCAAUUUGUUUGGUUUUGUUUGUGGAAAACGUGGAAAAUGUCGGUGUCGCGAAAGCGGAGCAAUAAAACGCAACAGGAGGUGCUCGUAGAGCAUCUCCAUGCUAACUUGAUGUUAGCAAGAGGAAAUACGGCUAGCCCCAAAGUGGCAGCAUUUUAGGCGGCCCUAACUGUUACUCUUAAUAGUCACGGAUGUCGAAGGACAGUGGCGGAGUGGCAGAGUAUUUGGUCGCAGUGGACACAGAAGGUCAAAUCUAAGUACAGAAAAUACAGAGAUCAAACGGAGGGCACUGGUGGAGGUCCUGCAUUAGUCCGCCCACUGACAGACACAGAACUUAAGGUUUUGGAGGUCGUAGGAACAGCUGCAGUGGAUGGAUUUACCAAUCUGGAGACUCCACUAGUUGGUUCUGUUGAAAUUUCAACACCGGCACCAGUUGAUGAACAACCACCAGUUGCUGCCCAGCUGCCAAUUGCUAUCCAGCCAUCAGUCGCUGACCACCCACCAGGUGCUGUCCAGCCACCAAUUGCUGUCCAGCCAUCAUCUGCUGCUGUUCAACCUCCAUCAUCUUCAGCCCAAUUGCGGAGUUCUCAUAGGCCAGAACGUACUCUUCCUCGCUCAUUUAUUACCUCGUCGCAACGACGACAGCGGAAAAGACCUUCGCGGCCCAAACCAGCAGAAUUACUGCAAGGGUCAUUAGACCGGAAUCAUGAAUUAUUCCGGUCUACAAUAACACAGGCAGCAGAGACCUUAGCCACUGCCAUCAGAGUAGCAGGGGAGGCCAUUUCCUCGGCUAUUAGGAACCAUGGUGGUUUACAGAACAAUGAUGGUGGUGGGCAGUCGGUAGAAUAUUUAGACGAAGAUCUAUUAGAGUAACAGUAAGAGCCAUCCAAUUUGUUGUUUCUUUAGUAAGUUAGCGAUAUUUAUUGUUAUUUUUUGUAUGAAAAUAUUUGACCCCUCCCCUUAUUCGGGCUUCUCUUCGCUCCAACUUUUCAUACAAACAGUUCUUAUUUGAAGACGAGCCAACAAGUCAUUAAAUGUUUGUACACAUAUUUCUAAAGGGAAUAUUCCUUUGCUUUGCUAGCUUUUGCUAAAAUUGGAGGUUGUCAAUCUACAUAUCUAAGCUUAAUGAUUUUUGUUCAAAAUGUAUUCUCCGUUUAGUUUGAAACAACAUAUCUUUACAAAAUUUUGACAAACCACAUGUACUCGUUUUUAGAAUAUAUCUACAAAUCUUUAUUGACUUUGAUGGUCUGUUUUCAAUUGAGAACGACGUACUUUUACGUUCGUAUGUAAAGUGAAGCGGAAAACUAGCGUUUACUUGCAAAACUAGUGACAUUUUGAUUUACCAACAACAAGCGGAAUAGAGUUGCAAUUUUGCAAGUACGGUCGACCAAAUUGAUUUCUGGGCCACUUCGUACCUUGUCACAGUGAAAAUCAAUUUGAAGCUGUUAGAGAUCUCUUAUUAUUAUCACUGUGACAACGUACGAAGUGGCCCAGAAAUCAAAUUUAUCUAUUUAAAUUGUUAUGUUUGAAACAUUUUAUCUAUAAAUGAAAAUAGUAGGCCAUUCUAUUUUCUAAAAUCAUUAUAGAUUGCAUGGAGCGGAAUUUUAGUUGUCAGUUUGGGGUUCUUAGGAGGUAAACAACCUAAGAGUACCCGACCCUGAGAGGUCAGCUUGACCCCUAAAUUCAUGAUGUAAGCUUGAAAAGCACAGAGCGCGGCACAGCGUCGUUGCGUGGCGGAGACGGUUUUUUGGUGAAGCCAACGCGGUCCGGGGGACGUCCUAUCAAAAAAUGAAGCAGUAAUGACAGUCGAUAGUUUCGGAAAGAUCAAAAAUGCAAAACCGCCUCCGCGCCGCACCGUGCCGCGCCUGCUCUGUGCGUUUCGACCUGUAGGCUGCAGUAAUGAUUUGUUAAUACUUAGUAAUUUUAUUUUGUAUAUUGAUAAUUUGUUUUAUUUGUAAGGAAGCGAUAUUUCAUUUUAAUUUUAUUGUAAUCUUUUCUUUUCAACGCUCUGUCAAAUACAAAUAGGUGGCACUCACACGCCAUGACAUCAAAAUAUCAAACACGUCGCAGUGACCGAUAUAUCCGUCGUUGGCGUUGAACCGAUGGUGCGGAUAUAUACGUCGUUGGCGCCCAAAUGGUUAAACUACAACCGUGGCAAACAAGCCCACGUGGACGAUUCUGAUUUCAAAAACAAUCACGAGCGCGCUGCUUACCCUUUUUAACCCCCGACGCAAAAACGACGGGGUGUUAUAAGUUUGACGUGUCUGUGUGCGUAAAUGUGUAUGUGUCCUUGUGGCAUCGUAGCUCCCAAACGGAUGAUCCGAUUUUAAUGCGGUUUUUUUUUGUUUGAAAGGUAUAUCAGUCGAGAGUGUUCUUAGCUAUGUUUGGUGGAAAUCGGUUCAGGUCAUCAGGUCGUUUGUUAUUUUUGGUCGGGGGUUUUUUAAAUUUUAAAUUUAGGUUAGGUUAUUGAUAUGAGAAUUCGUUAUAUUGACAGCUAGAGACAAAUGCAGGUACCCCAAUCUCAAAACAACGUAGUUCCGGAAGCUCUGGAGACCCCUGGAAGUCUGUAAUGUGUGCACUAGUGCCACUCGUAAAUAACUGUGAUUUAAAUUUAACGUUAGAUAUUGAAACGAGGGGAGGCCUACGUCCAGCAGUGGACGUCCAUCAGCUGAUAUGAUGAUGAUGAUUUAAAUAACUAACCAACUCAGGAAAGUUGGUAAGCCCCUGACAUUUUCAUUUCAAAGAACAACAUUUUCCUCAAAAACGGCUGGACCGAUUUGAUAAUGAUAAAACAUGUCUAAGAACCAUUGCUCUACAAUACAGACAUUUAUUAUUUUCCAGUUGCUUAAGCAUUAUUGAGAGGCUUGCUCAGAUAAAUAUUUAAAAUAAUCUGUUUAGAUAUAAGUAUUUGUACCUUACUACGUACAUUUAUGUUUGAAACCUUGGAAAUGCUCAUAAUGAACUCGACGGUAUAGACUGAUAGCAGUACUUUUACCUAUAUACUGCUAUCAGAAUGAAAUAUCGCUCCGCAAAUGGGUCUAAAUUUCCCAAAAAAAACCUGUUUCCAGUAUAGAAUGUAGAACAUUUUGUCAGCUUUCAAAUAUUUUUCUAGGCAUAUCCUAAUAAGCGAAAAACAAUAACUUGAUUUGCCUUAAGGCUCAUUUUAAUUUACACAGAGAUGGCAAGAUUUAUUUCAAAAUAUUACUUAAACUAUAAGUUAUGAAGGAAUGUACCAAACUGUAAUUGUAAUAAGUAAUAAAAGACUAUGAUAGUGUUAA